UACGGAGGGAGCUAGCGUUGUUCGGAAUUACUGGGCGUAAAGCGCACGUAGGCGGCUUUGUAAGUUAGAGGUGAAAGCCCGGGGCUCAACCCCGGAAUUGCCUUUAAGACUGCAUCGCUUGAAUCCGGGGAGAGGUGAGUGGAAUUCCGAGUGAUAGAGGUGAAAUUCGUAGAUAUUCGGAAGAACACCAGUGGCGAAGGCGGCUCACUGGACCGGCAUUGACGC
rnacentral:rRNA from 1 species